rnacentral:rRNA from 1 species
ACGAACGCUGGCGGCGUGCCUAAUACAUGCAAGUCGAACGAGAGCGACCGGUGCUUGCACUGGUCAAUCUAGUGGCGAACGGGUGAGUAACACGUGGGUAACCUGCCCAUCAGAGGGGGAUAACAUUCGGAAACGGAUGCUAAAACCGCAUAGGUCUUCGAACCGCAUGGUUUGAAGAGGAAAAGAGGCGCAAGCUUCUGCUGAUGGAUGGACCCGCGGUGCAUUAGCUAGUUGGUGAGGUAACGGCUCACCAAGGCCGUGAUGCAUAGCCGACCUGAGAGGGGUAUCGGCCACAUUGGGACUGAGACACGGCCCAAAAUCCUACGGGAGGCAGCAGUAGGGAAUCUUCCGCAAUGGACGCAAGUCUGACGGAGCAACGCCGCGGGAGUGAAGAAGGUUUUCGGAUCGUAAAACUCUGUUGUUAGAGAAGAACAAGUGCUAGAGUAACUGUUAGCGCCUUGACGGUAGCUAACCAGAAAGCCACGGCUAACUACGUG